rnacentral:pre_miRNA from 1 species
UGUGUACUUCCUCUGUUCGGAAUUAUUUGUUGUAGAAAUGGAUAUAUCUAGAUGUAUUUUAGUUCUAGAUACAUCCAUUUUCGAGACAAGUAAUUCCGAACGGAGGAAGUAUGUA